GAUGAAAGCUGGCGGCGUGCCUAAUACAUGCAAGUCGAGCGAACGGACGAGAAGCUUGCUUUUCUGAUGUUAGCGGCGGACGGGUGAGUAACACGUGGAUAACCUACCUAUAAGACUGGGAUAACUUCGGGAAACCGGAGCUAAUACCGGAUAAUAUUUUGAACCGCAUGGUUCAAAAGUGAAAGACGGUCUUGCUGUCACUUAUAGAUGGAUCCGCGCUGCAUUAGCUAGUUGGUAAGGUAACGGCUUACCAAGGCAACGAUGCAUAGCCGACCUGAGAGGGUGAUCGGCCACACUGGAACUGAGACACGGUCCAGACUCCUACGGGAGGCAGCAGUAGGGAAUCUUCCGCAAUGGGCGAAAGCCUGACGGAGCAACGCCGCGUGAGUGAUGAAGGUCUUCGGAUCGUAAAACUCUGUUAUUAGGGAAGAACAUAUGUGUAAGUAACUGUGCACAUCUUGACGGUACCUAAUCAGAAAGCCACGGCUAACUACGUG
rnacentral:rRNA from 1 species